CGCGAAGAACCUUACCUGGGUUUGACAUGGAUCGGGAGUGCUCAGAGAUGGGUGUGCCUCUUUUGGGGUCGGUUCACAGGUGGUGCAUGGCUGCCGUCAGCUCGUGUCGUGAGAUGUUGGGUUAAGUCCCGCAACGAGCGCAACCCUUGUUCACUGUUGCCAGCACGUUAUGGUGGGGACUCAGUGGAGACCGCCGGGGUCAACUCGGAGGAAGGUGGGGAUGACGUCAAGUCAUCAUGCCCCUUAUGUCCAGGGCUUCACGCAUGCUACAAUGGCUGGUACAGAGAGUGGCGAGCCUGUGAGGGUGAGCGAAUCUCGGAAAGCCGGUCUCAGUUCGGAUUGGGGUCUGCAACUCGACCUCAUGAAGUCGGAGUCGCUAGUAAUCGCAGAUCAGCAACGCUGCGGUGAAUACGUUCCCGGGUCUUGUACACACCG
rnacentral:rRNA from 1 species